CAGUACGGGACAUAGGACGCGAUCUGUAAAUUGUGUUUUGAGGUUCGUAAGAACAAAAAACGAUAAAUGAGAACGAAAAAGAUUGGAGUCAAGAAUGUGACAAAGAAGGCCACCAGCAGCUGGUUCUUCUAUUGGCUGCCAUGUCUCCUCCGAACUUUUUGCAAUCACCUCGUAGCAGAAUGGCCUUAUUGCUCAUCGUCCACGCCUCCAAGUUCUUCCGUUAAACCCGAAAAAUUCGACACUGGGGGAAAAGAAAGAAAAAUCGUAUGAUAUAUGUCUCCUAUCUCUUAAGGAUCGUAAUAUUCAAGACCGUAGCUACUCAGCUCACACUUGCACUGUGAAAAGACCACCGACCAUUAACAACGAG